UACGUAGGGUGCAAGCGUUGUCCGGAAUUAUUGGGCGUAAAGAGCUCGUAGGCGGUCUGUCGCGUCGGCUGUGAAAACCCGGAGCUCAACUCCGGGCCUGCAGUCGAUACGGGCAAACUGGAGUGUUGCAGGGGAGACUGGAAUUCCUGGGUGUAGCGGUGAAAAUGCGCAGAUAUCAGGAGGAACACCGGUGGCGAAGGCGGGUCUCUGGGCAACAACGUGACGCUGGAGGAGCGAA
rnacentral:rRNA from 1 species